UACGUAGGCAGCGAGCGUUGUUCGGAGUUAUUGGGCGUAAAGAGCUCGUAGGUGGCCUGUCGCGUCGGCUGUGAAAACUCGGGGCUCAACUCCGAGCUUGCAGUCGAUACGGGCAGGCUAGAGUUCGGCAGGGGAGACUGGAAUUCCUGGUGUAGCGGUGAAAUGCGCAGAUAUCAGGAGGAACACCGGUGGCGAAGGCGGGUCUCUGGGCCGAUACUGACACUGAGGAGCGAAAGCGUGGGGAGCGAACAGG
rnacentral:rRNA from 1 species